rnacentral:rRNA from 1 species
GACGAACGCUGGCGGCGUGCUUAACACAUGCAAGUCGAACGGAAAGGCCCUGCUUUUGUGGGGUGCUCGAGUGGCGAACGGGUGAGUAACACGUGAGUAACCUGCCCUUGACUUUGGGAUAACUUCAGGAAACUGGGGCUAAUACCGGAUAGGAGCUCCUGCUGCAUGGUGGGGGUUGGAAAGUUUCGGCGGUUGGGGAUGGACUCGCGGCUUAUCAGCUUGUUGGUGGGGUAGUGGCUUACCAAGGCUUUGACGGGUAGCCGGACUGGGAGGGUGACCGGCCACAUUGGGACUGGGAUACGGCCCAGACUCCUACGGGAGGCAGCAGUGGGGAAUAUUGCACAAUGGGCGGAAGCCUGAUGCAGCAACGCCGCGUGCGGGAUGACGGCCUUCGGGUUGUAAACCGCUUUCGCCUGUGACGAAGCGUGAGUGACGGUAAUGGGGAAAGAAGCACCGGCUAACUACGU